GGGGGACCUUCGGGCCUCUUGCCAUCGGAUGUGCCCAGAUGGGAUUAGCUAGUAGGUGGGGUAACGGCUCACCUAGGCGACGAUCCCUAGCUGGUCUGAGAGGAUGACCAGCCACACUGGAACUGAGACACGGUCCAGACUCCUACGGGAGGCAGCAGUGGGGAAUAUUGCACAAUGGGCGCAAGCCUGAUGCAGCCAUGCCGCGUGUAUGAAGAAGGCCUUCGGGUUGUAAAGUACUUUCAGCGGGGAGGAAGGGAGUAAAGUUAAUACCUUUGCUCAUUGACGUUACCCGCAGAAGAAGCUCCGGCUA
rnacentral:rRNA from 1 species